UACGUAGGGUGCGAGCGUUGUCCGGAAUUAUUGGGCGUAAAGGGCUCGUAGGCGGUUUGUCACGUCGGGAGUGAAAACUCGGGGCUUAACCCCGAGCCUGCUUCCGAUACGGGCAGACUAGAGGUAUGCAGGGGAGAACGGAAUUCCUGGUGUAGCGGUGAAAUGCGUAGAGAUCGGGAGGAACACCCGUGGCGAAGGCGGCCCCCUGGGCCGGCCCUGACACUGAGACGCGAAGGCGUGGGGAGCGAACGGG
rnacentral:rRNA from 1 species